GUUGGCAUAUUUGGAGACAAACCAGCUCUCUAAAGCAGUAAUGACUACCUCAUCAUCAAAGAAACUUCUUCCCCGUAAAUAUAUUUUUUCAUAUUUUGAAACAAGAAAAAGCAAAGGUGCUGAUCAGGAGAAUAGGGGGAUGAACCAAGGUUACAUAGCCAUAUUUAUGCAGAAAAAUGACUAUUUCUUCAGCUCAAUGUGCAAGUGCAUUUGUCAGUUAGCAGCAAUAUAUCUUUUGUCAGCAAACCACAUGUUUUUUCCUUGAUAUUAUCCUGUAGCUUCUGUAGCAAGUUCCUGUAGUAUGCUAUAGUUCCUGUGUGUAAACCCUUUUUGUAAGUAAUCUAUCAAUAUGACACUUUUGCUGUCCCAAAACACAGGCAACGUGACUUUGCUC
rnacentral:lncRNA from 1 species